rnacentral:rRNA from 1 species
AUUGAACGCUGGCGGCAGGCCUAACACAUGCAAGUCGGACGGUAGCACAGAGGAGCUUGCUCCUCGGGUGACGAGUGGCGGACGGGUGAGUAAUGUCUGGGGAUCUGCCCGAUAGAGGGGGAUAACCACUGGAAACGGUGGCUAAUACCGCAUAACGUCGCAAGACCAAAUAGGGGGACCUUCGGGCCUCCCACUAUCGGAUGAACCCAGAUGGGAUUAGCUAGUAGGCGGGGUAACGGCCCACCUAGGCGACGAUCCCUAGCUGGUCUGAGAGGAUGACCAGCCACACUGGAACUGAGACACGGUCCAGACUCCUACGGGAGGCAGCAGUGGGGAAUAUUGCACAAUGGGCGCAAGCCUGAUGCAGCCAUGCCGCGUGUAUGAAGAAGGCCUUCGGGUUGUAAAGUACUUUCAGCGGGGAGGAAGGCGAUAAGGUUAAUAACCUUGUCGAUUGACGUUACCCGCAGAAGAAGCACCGGCUAACUCCGUGCCAGCCGCCGCCGUAA